rnacentral:rRNA from 1 species
CACGGACCAAGGAGUCCAACAUGUGCGCGAGUCUAAGGGUUGUCUAAACCUGGAGGCGAAAUGAAAGUGAGAAGCCCCUCUCGGGGGGCAGGCCGAUCCCUUGUCGGGGCUGUCCGUGGUGUGCUGGACUGCGGGCGACCUGGUUUCCCUGCGGCGAGCGGCUGCGGAGAGUUCCGGCGGCCCCGCCACCUUUAGGCGGCGGGGAUUUUGGGCGCAGGCCGAGGACUUGCCGUUGUGCGGCGCGGGCAACGGGCGGCUCCUUCGGGGGCUUCCUCAUCCCGACGUCCGCCGGCAAGUACCUGAGAGCGCAGCCGUUGGGACCCGAAAGAUGGUGAACUAUGCCUGGCGAGGACGAAGCCAGAGGAAACUCUGGUGGAGGUCCGAAGCAGUUCUGACGUGCAAAUCGAUUGUCAGAGCUGGGUAUAGGGGCGAAAGACUAAUCGAACCAUCUAGUAGCUGGUUCCCUCCGAAGUUUCCCUCAGGAUAGCUGGUGUUCAAAUGAUGAGUUUCAUCCGGUAAAGCGAAUGAUUAGAGGCCUUGGUGGUGCAAUGCCGUCAACCUAUUCUCAAACUUUAAAUGGGUGAGAUGUGGAGCUUGCUUGAGACGUGAAGCUUCAUGUCAGUUGAAUCAGAAUGCCUAGUGGGCCACU